AUUGAACGCUGGCGGCAGGCCUAACACAUGCAAGUCGAGCGGAUGAAGGGAGCUUGCUCCUGGAUUCAGCGGCGGACGGGUGAGUAAUGCCUAGGAAUCUGCCUGGUAGUGGGGGAUAACGUCCGGAAACGGGCGCUAAUACCGCAUACGUCCUGAGGGAGAAAGUGGGGGAUCUUCGGACCUCACGCUAUCAGAUGAGCCUAGGUCGGAUUAGCUAGUUGGUGGGGUAAAGGCCUACCAAGGCGACGAUCCGUAACUGGUCUGAGAGGAUGAUCAGUCACACGGGAACUGAGAAAGGGGCCAGACUCCUACGGGAGGAAGGAGGGGGGAAAAUUGGACAAGGGGCGAAAGCCUGAUCCAACCAGGACGGGGGGGGGAAGAAGGUCUUGGGAUUGUAAAGCACUUUAAGUUGGGAGGAAGGGCAGUAAGUUAAUACCUUGCUGUUUUGACGUUAAAAACAAAAAAAGCACCGGCUAACUUCGG
rnacentral:rRNA from 1 species